rnacentral:rRNA from 1 species
GAUAAACGCUGGCGGCGCACAUAAGACAUGCAAGUCGAACGCGAGCACUUGUGCUCGAGUGGCGAACGGGUGAGUAAUACAUAAGUAACCUGCCCUAGACAGGGGGAUAACUAUUGGAAACGAUAGCUAAGACCGCAUAGGUACGGACACUGCAUGGUGACCGUAUUAAAAGUGCCUCAAAGCACUGGUAGAGGAUGGACUUAUGGCGCAUUAGCUAGUUGGCGGGGUAACGGCCCACCAAGGCGACGAUGCGUAGCCGACCUGAGAGGGUGACCGGCCACACUGGGACUGAGACACGGCCCAG